UUUAAGAUUGUAUAACUAUCAUCUAUUUUCUUGUAAUCUAAUGUUGAUCCUGAAAGAAAAAUCCAUAAGAAUACGCAUAAAUGGAUAGUAAUAUUAGGAGAUAAAUAUCAUUAGAACAUGAAGUAAUUUACUUAUGAAUCUCUAUCUAUUGUUCGAAAUAAUCGAUAUUCUAUAUUGAUUGUGAGGCAAUGUGAAUGUAUGCAUAACAUUUAUAAUUAUAAGAGAUAGAUUGUAUGCAAAAUUAGAUUUUAAUUUGGAUUCAAUCUUAGCUUUACUGAAAAAACUAAGAUUAUACACUUGUAGUUUGAUUGUUAAUUUAAGACUUUCACCUGUAGUAUACCAUCUUGUAUUAAUAUCGAUCUAAACCCGUCAAUUUUACGAUUUUCCAGCUUGUUAAAAAUUGAAUCACAUCAUACACAUAAAAAAUCUAAUAUCUUAUUAAUUAUUGUAGUAUAUAAGAUUAUAAUUUUUUAAUAUAAUAUGU
rnacentral:sRNA from 1 species